GAAAGCCUGACGGAGCAAUACCGCGUGAGGGAGGAAGGCUCUUGGGUUGUAAACCUCUUUUCUCAAGGAAGAACACAAUGACGGUACUUGAGGAAUAAGCAUCGGCUAACUCCGUGCCAGCAGCCGCGGUAAUACGGAGGAUGCAAGCGUUAUCCGGAAUGAUUGGGCGUAAAGCGUCCGCAGGUGGCURUGUAAGUCUGCUGUUAAAUAGUGAGGCUCAACCUCAUAAAGGCAGUGGAAACUACACGGCUAGAGUGCGUUCGGGGCAGAGGGAAUUCCUGGUGUAGCGGUGAAAUGCGUAGAGAUCAGGAAGAACACCGGUGGCGAAA
rnacentral:rRNA from 1 species